rnacentral:rRNA from 1 species
GAUGAACGCUGGCGGCGUGCCUAAUACAUGCAAGUCGAGCGAACAGAUGAGGAGCUUGCUCCUCUGACGUUAGCGGCGGACGGGUGAGUAACACGUGGAUAUCCUACCUAUAAGACUGGGAUAACUUCGGGAAACCGGAGCUAAUACCGGAUAAUAUAUUGAACCGCAUGGUUCAAUAGUGAAAGACGGUUUUGCUGUCACUUAUAGAUGGAUCCGCGCCGCAUUAGCUAGUUGGUAAGGUAACGGCUUACCAAGGCUACGAUGCGUAGCCGACCUGAGAGGGUGAUCGGCCACACUGGAACUGAGCCACGGUCCAGGCUCCUACGGGAGGCAGCAGUAGGGAAUCUUCCGCAAUGGGCGAAAGCCUGACGGAGCAACGCCGCGUGAGUGAUGAAGGUCUUCGGAUCGUAAAACUCUGUUAUUAGGGAAGAACAAAUGUGUAAGUAACUAUGGACGUCUUGACGGUACCUAAUCAGAAAGCCACGGCUAACUACGUG